GCGGGACAUCCGUUCACCUCCGUCCUGAAACCGGGCCUAAAUUUUAAAGGGGAAAUGAUGCCGGCUUUAUCUGUGUGAAGAAAUUUUGAGAAAGCAACUUCAUAGAGAAAGGGAAGAAAUAAAGAUUGAUGCACCUAA